rnacentral:rRNA from 1 species
UACGGGGGGGGCAAGCGUUGUUCGGAGUUACUGGGCGUAAAGGGUGUGUAGGCGGUCGUUUAAGUUUGGUGUGAAAUCUCCCGGCUCAACCGGGAGGGUGCGCCGAAUACUGAAUGACUUGGAGUGCGGGAGAGGUGAGUGGAAUUCCUGGUGUAGCGGUGAAAUGCGUAGAUAUCAGGAGGAACACCGGUGGUGUAGACGGCUCACUGGACCGUAACUGACGCUGAGACACGAAAGCGUGGGUAGCAAACAGG